AUCCAGCUGACCGUCCCAAAUAGGACGAAAUGCGCAUCCUGGAU
rnacentral:hammerhead_ribozyme from 1 species